CAGCCGCCGCGGGAAUACGUAGGUGGCAAGCGCUGUCCGGAAUUAUUGGGCGUAAAGGGCUCGCAGGCGGUUUCUUAAGUCUGAUGUGAAAGCCCCCGGCUCAACCGGGGAGGGUCAUUGGAAACUGGGAAACUUGAGUGCAGAAGAGGAGAGUGGAAUUCCACGUGUAGCGGUGAAAUGCGUAGAGAUGUGGAGGAACACCAGUGGCGAAGGCGACUCUCUGGUCUGUAACUGACGCUGAGGAGCGAAAGCGUGGGGAGCGAACAGGAUUAGAUACCCGUGUAGUCCCUGUCUCUUAUAC
rnacentral:rRNA from 1 species